ensembl:lncRNA SOX2-OT SOX2 overlapping transcript
GGGGACGCGGAGGAGAAGGAAAGUCGCUCAAGCAGUGGACAGAGCGGAGAAAGCGACUUCGGGUUGGUUGAAGGGUCUGCUGGAGUUUGCUGGAGGUGCACUCCAGACUCUGUUUGCCUGCCUAUCACCAACAGAGGCUGCAGAACAGCAAAGAUUGCUGUCUGUAACUUCCUCUGGAAGCUUCAUCCCAGAGGGGCACCUGCCAGAUGCCAGCCGGAGCUCUCCUCUAUGAGUUCAGCCUGAGAAAACUCCUGAGCAUGUGCGAAAAAGAAAAGAAGAAAAGAAAAGUAAAGAAAAGAAAAAAGGAAAAAGGGCAAGCUCCUGAGUGGAUCUCUCAGGGAGCCACCAGACAGUGAAUGAAGGAGGGAAGAAAGGAGAGACAGAGAAAAUAUGGGAAGUAUGCAGCUGGCAUCAGAAGCUGGAAGAUAGGAUCUUCCCGGAUCACAGCUCCUGUUCAGAAAGUCUGAGGAUGUCAGACUGAGACUGUUGAGUCUGAGGAUGUCAGACUGAGAUUGUUGAGUCUCAGGAUGUUGCAGGACAGGAUGGAUGAAGAAUGCUAGUCCUGGCAGUUGGGGCCUAAGGCCAGGGCCCUUUUUUAUCACUUUCUUGUGUUGCCUCUCUGCCCAAGAAAAAAUCUGUCUCUUGCAUACAGCUCCUCUAAUACGUGUCCAUUAGAAGGAAGGAGUUUCUUUAAUGAGCUCUAUGGUUUUAUCUUGCUCAUAACAGCUUAGUUUAAUGCCACUGAAACUGUAACAUUUUUUUGUGCCUAAUAUCAACUGACAAAUAUAAAGUUAUUCCUAAUUUAUUAAUUCAAAUGAUAUAUUGCAAAAUAAAAUCUGCUUAAUAUGAAAAGAAGUAA